AUAUUAUCAACCUUUUUGGUUGGAUGUGGGUUUGCUGGCCUCUUGAGGUCAGCUCUCCUUAAAUGCAUUAGCGGACAACAUUUUUGCCAACCGUUUAUUGGUGUGAUAAUUAUCUACGCUAUUGACGUGAAGCAAGGUUCUGCUUCUAACAGUCCAUUGACUUGGACAAGCCAUCUUUUAUUA
rnacentral:misc_RNA from 1 species